rnacentral:rRNA from 1 species
GACGAACGCUGGCGGCGUGCUUAACACAUGCAAGUCGAGCGGUAAGGCCCUUUCGGGGGUACACGAGCGGCGAACGGGUGAGUAGCACGUGGGUGACCUGCCCUCAGCUCUGGGAUAAGCCUGGGAAACUGGGUCUAAUACUGGAUAUGACUCCACGGUGCAUGUCGUGGGGUGGAAAGCCUUGUGCGGCUGAGGAUGGGCCCGCGGCCUAUCAGCUUGUUGGUGGGGNGAUGGCCUACCAAGGCGACGACGGGUAGCCGGCCUGAGAGGGCGACCGGCCACACUGGGACUGAGACACGGCCCAGACUCCUACGGGAGGCAGCAGUGGGGAAUCUUGCGCAAUGGGCGAAAGCCUGACGCAGCGACGCCGCGUGAGGGAUGACGGCCUGG